CCAUCUCUCCCCAGUUUCCACCCGGCGAGCUGCCGCCUACCCCGGCAUCCUCCGACCUGACGCCUCCUCCUGCCUCUCCACGCCCACCUCCUCUCCUCCGGCCACCUCACCUCCUCCCCGGCCAUGCUCACAUCUCUAGUCUCCCUCUACGUACGCACGCGUCCCCGCCCUCCACGCCCACCUCCCGCUCCUCCUCUCCCGCUCCUCCCUGGCUCUGAUCGGAUGGGAUCCGGCGGGAUCCGCCUCCCUCGGGCCGGAUCGAGUGGGAUCCGCGCGACCGCCGCCGGCCAUCGGGGUCUAAUUUCUCUUCGUUUUUUCCGCUAUGUUCAUACGAGCUUCACGUUCUGCGCCAUGGCGCCGAGCAAAGGGACCUGGCAUGAAGGACCUCUCCAUCCUUCGUUUGAUUUUUUGCUUCUAAAUCUGAAAAUUUUGUUCGUCGUUUGGCAACUCUCGGCUCCGGCAACUCCUUCCUCCAUCUCUGUUGAUGUUUUUUUUUCUCAAUUUUUCAGAUCCGAAAUUCUUGGCUUGUUUCUUGUUUUGUUCCAAAAUUUACGUGCUUUCUUUUUUUUUAUUAGUUUCCUUGUUUGCAUUCUCGAGGGAGAGAGAUAAAUCAGGAUCUGCUGCAUUCUCGAGGGAAAGAGAGAAAUUAGGAUGUGCUGCCAUUUUUCCCCAGCCCAAAGCAUUUUGUGAUUAGAAGUGUGUAAAAUUUUGGAUGCAUGAAAAAAAUACAUACUAGGAGAAGAAGUUUCCACAGUAGAAGAAAAGAAAAAUGAAAUUCGUAAAAUUAUGGAGAAGUGACUUGCCAGUCGAUGAAGAUCUUGCGAAAUGUAUAAGAAAAACAAGUACGGGUUCUAUACUUGUAUUCUCUGACCAGCCAGGGUUGUCCAAUUCACCGGGUGUUGAAGAAUGAAAUUCAUAAACAUUUGAGGGUGUGUAUGAAAGAAGUUAAGGACCGGACAAUGAGAAAGACCAAAAACAUGAAGGUGCAAGUUGUAAAAAGACAGCACGAAUCUCCAAGAAUCCUGCGGCUAGGAUAGUAGAUGUCGGUCAAACUAGUUGGGGGAAGAAAUAAGUCCAUUUCACCCCCCUCAACUGAUCGAUAAGUCCAAGAAACACUCUAAACUAUGAAACCGGGUAAUUAACCCCACCGAACUAUCAAAACCGGGCACCCGACUCCCUUGCCUGUUUCCUGUUGGUCUAGAUGGACGGUUUUGACCAUGUUGACCGCCACGUUGGCAACAAGUGUCUGUCCCUAGCCCUCCUAACCCCGCGCCUAGACCUCUAUCUCUCUUCUCAAAUUCCAAAUCGGGAACCCUAGCUCUGGCGUCGGCGGGGGCUGGACGACGCAGGCCUUACGGGGGCGGACACUGGGCGUUGGGGCGGCUGCUAAUCGAUUGCUGGAACCUGCGCCCGCCCCUCUUCUUCCUCCCCGACGCCGGCGGCUGCUGCUCAGUGAGUUCAUUUGCUUUUUUCUUCUUCUUUUUUCCUCUCCCUCUGCUCGAUGCUUAGCUUGCUGUAUUUGCUUCUGUUCUUACAGAGCAAUGGAAGAUGACCUAGACUGCAACUAGAAUUGCAAACAGAUUUGAGAAGAUGAUUAAGGCUAAAAAUCAGAAGGGAAACCAACGGAGGAAAAGAGAAGGAAAACCGAAUCGAAUAACGGCUAACUCUGGUCGCAAAAGCUAAAGAACAGAAGAGAGAGAGAAGACAGAGACGGGAGAGAGAAGUCUGGGCACAUGGGCUCGGGACAGCCACUUGCCAGCAUGGCGGUCAACAUGGUCAAAACCGCCCAGACCAGCAGGAAACAAGCAAGGGUGUUGGGUGCCUGGUUUUGAUAGUUCGGUGUGUUAAAUACCCGGUUUCAUAGUUUAGGGUGUUUUUUGGACUUCUCGAUUAGUUAAGGAGGAUAAAAUGGACUUAUUUCUUGUGGAAAUGAGUUUUUGCACAAAUAAUACGUCAGAUAAUAACUCAUAUGUAUCAAUGCAGAACCAGCAGGAGAUCUGGCAGGGCAUCUGGAAAGAUGCUUGCCCUUUCAACUACAGCCAGCUAAAUGGCGAGCAGAAGAACCGCGUCUGGAUGGAUUUCAUCACCCGCCUACAGGAUAACGAUGGUUGGCUUGUACUUGUUUAAACAAUCGAGUCCUGAAGAAAAAGCCCGUAUGCGGGAGGAAUUUGUCAGACGCGAGGUGCGCCGUGAUUGGGAAGAAAAACAUGUACAAAACAGAAUAGAACACACAGCAUGUCCAGCUUUUAAAACUAAUAAAGUCAUUGUUGCAAUAACAAAAUGCAUACAACCAAGAAAUAUUGCAUAUGCUCAUGCUGAUCAAUCUUUUUUUGUAUCGUCCCAAAGAUGCUGGAAGCAGCGAACAACCCUCAGGACUACGGGGUAACUUCCUACAGGACGACACGCCAGCGGAGAAACGCGAAGUGGACUCCGACGACGAGGACGGGAUCGAGAAUCUCGCUAAUGAGAUUCUCUCUCUGCUUUACCAAGGGAUAUGGAAACAAAUCAACGGCGAUCAAGCGUAUUGUCCCUUUUGUAACAGGAAGGUGAACCCAGACUUCCUAAGUGUCCUGCAGCACACUGAAAGCUACAGGCCGGAGCCACCCAACGCUGGCGGCAAGAAGGGGACGCACCGCGGUUUAAAGUGCUUCCUGAGGGCAAACGUACCACCGCAUCUUGAAGCCAUGAUGACUGCACGUACCGAGAAGCUUGGAAUGUGGUACGAGCCAUGAAACAUUUAGCCAUGAGACGUAAUAGAGCGACACUGAAGUACACCAGUAUUAAGAACCCAGUGCCUGUUUGUUUGCAUCAAACUUUUUAUCCGUAUUUGUAGUAACUUAUUAUUGUUGAACAUGACUCUGACUUGGU